ensembl:lncRNA
CGGGUGAAAAUGAGAUAUCAUAACAUAAAAAAUAAAGACCAUGACGCCGGUACGAUCAUUAAUAUUGUUCAAUUUCAUGAAACUUAUUUGUGCCGAAUAUAUUUCAAAAGAAUAAAAUAAAAUAUGAUACAAUGAAACAAACUACACACGCACAAACACACCUUUAUUUAAAAAUAAAUAAAUAAAUAAAUAAAUACAAUAAAAUAAAAUAAAACAUAUCUGAUCCUGCAUUUUCUCCUAAUAUACCGAAUAUCAGAUUAUUCCCAACUCUAUCAAAUAGAGUCAAAUUGAUCUGAUCAUUAUGAGAUUAUUAUAAAAGGAAUAAAAGGUUAUUGCGAGGCAUAUUUACCCCCUCCCCCCCAUCACAGAUUCAAAAUAUGAAGACGAACACGUCUUCGCCCUUUCCGUCGAUGGCGAACGAGGCCAACUUUUUAUGCGUCUGCCUUCGGUGCAUUAGCUUAAAGCAUUUCCGCUCCAUAACUCAGUAAUAUAAACUCUGGUGUACAAGCUGGAGGAAUUUAGCAGAGCAAUAAAAUAAGCUCUUAAUAAGAGCUGCGUAGUAAAGCUGAAGAAGCAGGCGAUAAACUGCAGCAAUGGCAGAGCCUGGGAUAAUUUAUACAGGAAGUGAAGUGCCCAGAGCUGGGGCUAAUGCACAUAUCUACUCUCGCUAUACAAAAAAAAAAUAAAAAUCUCAGUGAAAGGUCUGAGCCAAUGACUGCAUAUACGUAUAAGAGUGAUCGACACGGUGCCACGGACACGCCCCUGCUUAAGACGGCACGUCGAACACUGUCUCAAAGUGUAUAAUUUUCGCCGGAGUAUUCAUUUUAACGGUGUCUGGGAAAGAUCACGACCGACUGAGCUACUAUAGUCCCCUCCAAAAGUACUGGAACAGCAAAGCCGAUUCUACAUAGCUUUCAUUUCCUCAUAUUUACAUCUAGAUGUGUUCAACAACUCGGCACCUUUUGUUUGAACCCACCCCCAAGUGAUCAACAACAUUGGAACAUGUGACUGACAGGUGUUUUUCGUUACCCAGGCGUGACGUGUUAGAUUGAUUGUUUAAACAAUAAAUAGCUCUGAACAUCUACUCUCGGUUUCACCCGUGAAGACUGUAUUUUGUCGUUAAAAAGGAUAAACCAACAUGAAGACCAGUGAGAUGUCUACAGGAGAAAAGCAAGCCAUUUUGAAGUUGAGAAAAGCUGGGAAAUCCAACCAGAGCCAGUGCACAAGCAUUGCGCGUAGCCUAUGCAGCAAUCUGGAACGUCCUGUGACUUUGUUCGGUCAUGUUAGGUGUUAGAUGUUACCGGAAAAAACUGCAACGCACUCCCCGCUACAGCAAAACAAAAGACGGCUUUGCUGCAGAAUAAUUUCCGAGAGCUUCCGUCGUGUGCUGGAAAGUCCGCGUACGUUAACGUGGCCCCAAAAAAAAGUUUAAACACUUCAUGAACCACGCCCUUUCGUUAAUCAUCAAAUGGAUCCUAUAAAAUGCAUUUAUCAUAAGGACAAAUAUGACGGUCAACUAAAUUUGUAAAAGCGACACAACAAUGUUCCCGUGAGUAAUUUGUAGAGCUGUAACUUAAAAACUGAUUUUGGAACCUUUUCAUGUUCACUAACAUGGAAAUGGGGCGGGGUUAAACACUGUACUGCAGACAGCCACCAGAGGGCCUCGGAGACAUAUUGGCUUCACUAUUAUGACAUUAUAUAUAUAUAUAUAUGUCAUUGUUCUGAGCUGUAGUUGUUAGCAUGUUCGCAUCACGCCUCCAGGGUCGGGGGUUCGAUUCCCACCGUGACCCUGUGUGUGUGGAGUUCGCAUGUUCUCCCCGUGCUGCGGGGGUUUCCUCCGGGUACUCCGGUUUCCUCCCCCAGUCCACAGACAUGCAUGGUAGGCUGAUUGGCGUGUCUAAAGUGUCCGUAGUGUAUGAACGGGUGUGUGAGUGUGUGUGUGAGUGUGCCCUGCGAUAUAUUGGCGCCCUGUCCAGGGUGUACCCCGCCUUGUUCCCCAUGCUCCCUGGGAUAGGCUCCAGGUUCCCCCGUGACCCUGAAGCAGGGUCAGGAGCAGUAAUCCACCGUGCAAGUCCCCGUGAAUGAGACGUCGCUAUAGAAACAAUAACGUACUUAAGCCACGACAUUAAUAUAAAAGUCCAGACGUGUAUUGACGCUCCAGCAUCGAUCUGUUAAACAGCGCGAACUAAAACGAAUUCGCUUGAAGGCCACGCAACUCGGGAGAAAGUAAUGAACUUGGCAGAAUCGACUCUAGUUUGAGUCGUGGUGGGGUUUUUUUUUUCCCCCGUCCGUUAUUUCCCUCCUUCAGGAAGACACUUUGAUGGACGUUAUCUCUUCCGCCUUAAUCAAUUAAAAAGUAAUUACAAUUGCAAAUGGUUGCACUUCUCGGUAAUCGCUUUGAACUCGGUCGGUGAAAAGAUACAAUAUAUUUGAGGCGAUAAUAAUAAAUAAAUAGCUUUAAUAUGGCGCCUCGGAGGGCGAGCGAGGCGAGAGCGAGAGGAGGAAGUGUUAUUGAUCGGCUCUGCUGCUUUGUAUUCUGUUCACUAAUAAUUACCAGUACAGCCUAUCCAAUUACACACACACACACACACACACACACACACACACAGGUUCAUUAUGCAAAUAAGAAGGACUCAUUUAAGGCAGGCUUACAGGACUUCAUUUACACUCCUGUAGACAUGACGAUGCAGUCGAUUAAAUCUAGAUGUCUUCGUUUCUUAAUUGAACCAAAUUAAGAUUAUGAAGUUUAUAGAAAAUGAAGGGUUUUGGGUUGGUUUUUUUUUUUUAAAUCGUGUACUCUUUCUUUGCUACGUCCACGAUCACUGCGAGGAAGUUUGAAGGUUAAUGGCGGUCGGUUGAUUCUCCGACCGCUGCACCGGAGUGAGGGGGAUCGUGCGGCGUGAAGUCUCAUUAACCACGAAGGCUCGGAGAAAUGGAAAUCAAAAAGCACUAAAAGGACAGGAGACGAGGUGAGGUUCAGCUAACUCGAGAAGAACGCCUCAAACUGUUCGGUGCUGUUGAAUCCGGGAUUCUGGUCAGGUGGCGUUGAUUCAUUUUCUAGAACAGCAGCUCUGAUAGUACUUCGAGGACAUUGCUGUUUCUAUGGUAACAGCUCGUUCACGGGGACUUGUACGGCGGACGCGCCACGUAAACAUAAAACGGUGUCACCGUUUACACGUCUUUGUGCUGUCCGUGUCUUUGCGGUGUCUGCGUCUUUGCGGUGUCCGCGUCUUUGCGGUGUCCGCGUUUACGCGUCUUUGCGGUGUCCGCGUCUUUGCGGUGUCCGCGUUUACGCGUCUUUGCGGUGUCCGCGUCUUUGAGGUGUCCGCGUUUACGUGUCUUUGAGGUGUCUGCGUUUACGCGUCUUUGCGGUGUCUGCGUCUUUGAGGUGUCUGCGUUUACGUGUCUUUGAGGCGUCUGCGUUUCAGCGUCUUUGAGGCGUCUGCGUUUACGCGUCUUUGAGGCGUCUGCGUUUCAGCGUCUUUGAGGUGUCUGCAUCUCUGAGGCGUCCGCGUUUACGCGUCUUUGAGGCGUCUGCGUUUACGCGUCUUUGAGGUGUCUGCAUCUCUGAGGCGUCCGCGUUUACGCGUCUUUGAGGCGUCUGCGUUUACGCGUCUUUGAGGCGUCUGCGUUUCAGCAUCUUUGUGGUGUCUGCGUUUACGUGUCUUUGAGGCGUCUGCGUUUCAGCGUCUUUGAAGCGUCUGCAUCUCUGAGGCGUCCGCGUUUACGCAUCUUUGCGGUUUCCGCGUCUCCGAGGCGUCCGCGUUUACGCGUCUUCUCCCGGUUUCCGUUUCUCUGAGGGAACGAUUUCGUUUAUAGCUGCUAUAACGUAGGUGAGAACGCGAACUUGUUUCAGAGACGUUCCACGGCAUUUAAAAAAAAAUGUUUAAAAAAAUCUACUUUGUUUAUCCAUUGUUUUGCAUCGAACAAUUCUGCACUGAAAACAAGCGCUGGAUUUCUUUUUCUUCUCAUUAUUAUGAAUAAUAAGCUUUUUGCUCUGUUGCAUAAAUUGUAAUGAGUUUCUGACGGUUUAUUUAAUGGUUUGAAAAUAAAGCAUGUAUGAGUAAUGUUUCAUUUUAAAAAUAAAUAAAUAAAUAAAUAAAAAGCGAUCAGGAAAAACAAACUCUGUCCUUUUUAAUAGGAUAUUAUAUCCCCAAACCAAGCUGUAUAUAUAAAGCUAAUUAAUUAACGUUUCAUUUAGAAACUCAGAGGUAAUGAAAAACUAUUUUUUUUUUGUUAUAAAUUAAACAAUUAAGCAGAAAAUAUCACACAACCCAGCUACGCGUAGACGGACAGAGUGCGUGCGGUGGAAAAGUUCCUGUGUGAAACUUUUCCGCGCGUUUUUUCGUCUUUUACGGUCAUUUCUGGCGGAAAACGUUAUCGAUGUUGACGCGGGAUGGAAACGGAUCAUCCAAGCCGAGGUAUGUUCGGAGCUGGGAAUAUUUCUCUCCACGUUUCAUCUUCAAACUGAGAAACACGGGAGCUCGUUUCAAAACUGUCCAUUAAACCGGUGUAAUUGUGCUGCUGAACCCAGCCGGGCGCCGGUUAACGCUUCCAUCUCUGGAAAGUCAUUCCCAGUCGUUAGUGAUAAAUAACAGCGCUUACAAAAUCCUGCGCGAUUAAUAGACUUUUCGUUAAGGGGAAAUUGAUCCGACGUGUCAUUAACAGACGCCGACGCGAUUAAGACGAUUAAGGAAAUAGAUGCGUUUGCUUACAUUUUUUUUUGUUUGUUUGUUGUGUGUUUUUUUUUGUUAAUAAAAAAAAAAAAAACACGGCAGGCUUUAACCGACAGGCUUUUAGUCUGACUCCGUGACUGACAGACGUUCCAGCAGAGAUUACUGCCAGCAAGGAAAAAGAAAGAAAGAAAGAACAAAGGAAAGAAGGAAAGAAGAAGCAGUGGUCCAUCACUGCUCCAUCUCAGCGGUAAAGUACAGACUUUACACACGUGUCGGAGAGUGAAUGUCAGAUACGUGUCAGCGGAUGAAAAGGCUUUUCACACAGACGACGCUGGAAGCCGUGUCUCUCCUCUGGACCGCACCAAAAGAGAAUCUCAGAGUGCUGGAAAUGUGAGAGACGUGAGACGGCUCCGUGUACGGCGCCGGUUCUGUGACGCCGGAGGGGGAGGGGGAGGGGGUGUUGAUGGGGAACGAGUAUAAAUAUAAAACCCUGUGAAACGCAGAGUGUGAACGAGCGAGCGUGUGAUCUGCCUGUGAAUUUUAUAAAUAAACGAACGUCACAGCAUGGAGAACGGGGGAAACUCUGAGCUACGAGCGAGACGUAGCUCGGAUCCGAGACGAUCUGCUCUGUAGUCUAGAGCCGUAGCCAUGCGGUUCUCCGUCGCUUCGGCUAUCCGGCUGUCAGCAAAACUUCCCAGCAUCAUUAAAUAUAUAAAAGCGAGCUACCUCGGAGGACAGAGGCAGCGUUUUAGGGCAGAUACGAUCUGGCCUAUUUGCAAAGGCAGAAUAAGGACAGCUGUCUAAUGCAGGGCCUACUCGAGAUCUAGAAAAUUCUACAGUCAUGCAGUAAAAUUGUUUAAAAGAGUUUAUCUGGAAAAGGAAAUUCGGGAUACUUUUUUGGGGGUUUUUUUUUUUGGGGGGGGGGGUGUUCUGGAGGGGACGUCGGACGGCGUGGCGCGGGGACGUAAUGACGUGUACCGCUAAUCCCUCUAUGUUCUAUAACGUCUAAAACAGGGACAUGAUCAGAGUAUUCUAAAAGCGACUCAUGUACACACCUUAAUCAGAAUAUCAUACGUCUCAUUCAGAAUGAGGUCCAUAAUUAGAUUACCGCUGUCCGUGUACAUACAGUCAGUGAGUACGUUUACACGGACAGCGGUAAUCUAAUCAUCGACCUUAAUCUGAGUAAGAUGAUAAUCUGAUUAAGGUGUUUACACCUUACUCCUGUCAUGUUCCCGUUUGACAUGUUUUAGAACAUAAUUAGAUUAACAGCCCGCGUCAUUACGUCACCGCGCCACGCCGUCCGACGUCCCUCCAGAAUCUCACGUAUCGACAUACAGU